AGCCAGUUUCUCUUCUGGCCUUUCCAGCUCCAGAGGAGCCCCCAGGGUGUCCCUGGUUUGGGGACAGUUCCCACUCACAAGCUGAAGGAGAAUCCCACUCACCAUUGGACAGAGGAGAAACAGGCCCAGCGAGGGGAGUGCUUGCUUGUACAGAGUUUGGGGGACAUCACACGGCCUUUACGAAUGUGAAGAAACACCUGGGAACACAUCCAGGGCACGACGUUCGGCGAAAACUCACGUUUCAGAGCCGCACGUGAAUUUUGUACAAAUGUGAAUUCUCUCACGACCAUGGGUUUUUAAAUCUCUCACCCACUCUCCUAAUUCCUCAGAGUGCUUGAGCACUCAGUUGAAAUACAUGUUACGUUUAACUGUGG